rnacentral:rRNA from 1 species
GAUGAACGCUGGCGGCGUGCCUAAUACAUGCCAGUCGAGCGAACGGACGAGAAGCUUGCUUCUCUGAUGUUAGCGGCGGACGGGUGAGUAACACGUGGAUAACCUACCUAUAAGACUGGGAUAACUUCGGGAAACCGGAGCUAAUACCGGAUAAUAUUUUGAACCGCAUGGUUCAAAAGUGAAAGACGGUCUUGCUGUCACUUAUCGAUGGAUCCGUGCUGCAUUAUCUAGUUGGUAAGGUAACGGCUUACCAAGGCAACGAUGCAUAGCCGACCGGGGAGGGUGAUCGGCCACACUGGAACGGAGACACGGUCCAGACUCCUACGGGAGGCAGCAGUAGGGAACCUUCCGCAAUGGGCGAAAGCCUGACGGAGCAACGCCGCGUGAGUGAUGAAGGUCUUCGGAUCGUAAAGCUCUGUUAUUAGGGAAGAACAUAUGUGUAAGUAACUGUGCACAUCUUGACGGUACCUAAACAGAAAGCCACGGCUAACUACGUG